rnacentral:rRNA from 1 species
UACAGAGGGUGCGAGCGUUAAUCGGAUCACUGGGCGUAAAGCGCGCGCAGGCGGGAAGGUAAGUCGGCUGUGAAAGUCAGGGGCUCAACCCUUGAAAGCCGGCCGAUACUGUCGGACUAGAGUCCGGAAGAGGCGAGUGGAAUUCCCGGUGUAGCGGUGAAAUGCGCAGAUAUCGGGAGGAACACCAAUGGCGAAGGCAGCUCGCUGGGACGGUACUGACGCUGAGACGCGAAAGCGUGGGGAGCGAACAGG